rnacentral:sRNA from 1 species
GGUAGAGUCCCGCGGGAGUCAGCUCUGCCUCCCGGCGCCGGCUUCGCCUGGGGUCCUUUGUACUCCUCGCCCAGGGGGUCCCCAGCUUGCUGAGCUCCUGGCUCCCGAAGCCGUUCGCCUGCUGCGGGCGCGUCCUCGGGCCUAGGGAGGGGCGGGUCGCCCUCCUGUCCUGCCCGUGUUAACCAGAGAAGACCCCUGGCCUGGGCAGUAAGCCAGGGGGCGUCAGGAAACGCCCCCUAGAAAGUGGCUCUGAAGUUGACACCCGUCCUACUGCAUGGCAGGACUCAUUCCCGUGAACAUCACUUUGCAGCUGCGUUUAUGUUGCAAUAACUGGAACUACUCUUCUAAGUUUGUUUUCUUUGUAUGAAUUCCCGGCAAGUUCGUUUUACUAAAAGCACCAAAGGUUUUCACCAGACAUAACAGCUUCCUGAGGUGCUAGGCCUAAAAGAUUUUUAAAGAUCUUUAAUAUUUGUAUAUUUUCAUGGAGACGCCCUGAGGAUGUUUACUGUCACUAGGUAUUCCAACUUUAUUAUAUGGACUUGGCUCCUGGUUAUUUGCCAGAGUCACAGAGACUGUGCAUACCAGUUAUGGACCCAUAACAGUUUAUUUUCUCAAUAAAGAAGAUGAAGGUGCCAUGUAUUGAAAGUGUGCAUCGAAGAACAUAAAUAUCAGUGGAUUUUCUCUGUGUAUAUGUGCAGUAUUUAUUUUUGAUCCUUUAAAAUAAAACUUUUGCAAAUAC